CCUACGGGUGGCAGCAGUGGGGAAUAUUGGACAAUGGGGGGAACCCUGAUCCAGCCAUGCCGCGUGUGUGAAGAAGGCCCUCGGGCUGUAAAGCACUUUCAGUGAGGAAGAACGCCUGGUGGUUAAUACCCAUCAGGAAAGACAUCACUCACAGAAGAAGCACCGGCUAACUCCGUGCCAGCAGCCGCGGUAAUACGGAGGGUGCGAGCGUUAAUCGGAAUUACUGGGCGUAAAGCGCGCGUAGGUGGCUUGAUAAGCCGGUUGUGAAAGCCCCGGGCUCAACCUGGGAACGGCAUCCGGAACUGUCAAGCUAGAGUGCAGGAGAGGAAGGUAGAAUUCCCGGUGUAGCGGUGAAAUGCGUAGAGAUCGGGAGGAAUACCAGUGGCGAAGGCGGCCUUCUGGACUGACACUGACACUGAGGUGCGAAAGCGUGGGUAGCAAACAGGAUUAGAUACCCGUGUAGUC
rnacentral:rRNA from 1 species